GCAAUCUUGGCCAAAUUGGUUAAGGCAUCUAACUUCGGAUUAGAGGAUUGUUGGUUCGACUCCAACAGAUUGCU